GGGGACGAAAGGGUUCGACAGGGAAGGUUUAAUCUGGAUUGCAGGCCGAGGUGGCCAUCGCCCUCGUAAAACAGGUGGCAAAAAAGUAACUGGCGAAUCUGAAUUCGCUCUGGCUGCCUAAUUUAGGCAGGCCACGUCGACCUUGACCUCUCCUCGAUGGGUUGGGGAUCGGCGCCAUAAUGUCGAGGUGCGGCAGCUCGGACGCCGAUAGGGGUUGUCAAAGACACAUCGGCUGGCCCGGCGACACUCCGUCGGUGGAGGUACGGCGGGCGAGAACAAAACGCCGACUAAGCCUGUAGCAUAUCCAGGGUGGCCUUCUUCUGGACGGGGAGUUCGAUUCUCCCCCGUCUCCACCA
rnacentral:tmRNA from 1 species